CAGCAGCCGCGGUAAACGUAGGAGCCAAGCGUUAUCCGAAUUCACUGGGCGUAAAGCGCGUGCAGGCGGCUCGGUAAGUUGGAUGUGAAAGCUCCCGGCUCAACUGGGAGAGGACGUUCAAUACUGUCGGGCUAGAGGGUGGCAGAGGAAGGUGGAAUUCCCGGG
rnacentral:rRNA from 1 species